rnacentral:rRNA from 1 species
GAUGAACGCUGGCGGCGUGCCUAAUACAUGCAAGUCGAGCGAACAGAUGAGGAGCUUGCUCCUCUGACGUUAGCGGCGGACGGGUGAGUAACACGUGGAUAACCUACCUAUAAGACUGGGAUAACUUCGGGAAACCGGAGCUAAUACCGGAUAAUAUAAUGAACCGCAUGGUUCAAUAGUGAAAGACGGUUUUGCUGUCACUUAUAGAUGGAUCCGCGCCGCAUUAGCUAGUUGGUAAGGUAACGGCUUACCAAGGCAACGAUGCGUAGCCGACCUGAGAGGGUGAUCGGCCACACUGGAACUGAGACACGGUCCAGACUCCUACGGGAGGCAGCAGUAGGGAAUCUUCCGCAAUGGGCGCAAGCCUGACGGAGCAACGCCGCGUGAGUGAUGAAGGUCUUCGGAUCGUAAAACUCUGUUAUUAGGGAAGAACAAAUGUGUAAGUAACUAUGCACGUCUUGACGGUACCUAAUCAGAAAGCCACGGCUAACUACGUG